CACAAACAAAUCCGACCAACCAAACACCACCAACUAUAAACACUCCACAGUAACCCCAAUCUGGCGAACAAGAACAGAAGUGUUCCCAAAGUGCCAAGUGUUGCGACUCGAACGGUUAAACGUACCACCCACCCACCAUCUCAACCAGGGUGCUGGUUGGUCUAAUGUUACAAGUGCGGUGCCCGAACCCAAUGCAAACGACAUUCCACCGUGUGAUCAACACGAUCUUCACAAGUUGAUUCAUAUCGAGCCCUGAUGAAGAUCCCAACCAUAGGAUCGAAACGUAGGCAAUGAUUUAGAAUAAUCAACGCUUUUUCUGUGACUGAAAGCCGAAAACCUACCAAGUUUCCAUAGAUCCAGUCAGUCCCCGUAAGAAAUCACAAUUUAAGAAGUGAGUUCAUCAUAUUUUAUAGAGGUUCACCCAAAUUUCCCAGAAUUACCUGAUGAAUUUUUGGAUUAUUUGAGGGAUUUCUGGCGUAAUUCCUCCAAGCGAUUUGUACUGGAAUACUUUAAGAUAAUUUUAGAGGGAUACAGGAGACAGGAAGUUCUUCAAGAAGUCAUCCAGGAAUUCUCUCACAAUUAUCUCCAAAUAAUCUUUAAGGAGUUCAUCCACAGAUUUAUCCAUGAAUUCCUUCAAGA